rnacentral:snRNA from 1 species
AUACCUUUCUCGGUCUUUUGGCUAAGAUCAAGUGUAGUAUCUGUUCUUAUCAGUUUAUAUUAACUUAAUUUUUUAAGAGCAGGGAUGGCAAUGAGGGCGGGGCAGGGCACAAUUACAUUUU